AACGAACGCUGGCGGCAGGCUUAACACAUGCAAGUCGAGCGCCCCGCAAGGGGCGAGGCAGACGGGUGAGUAACGCGUGGGAACGUACCCUUAUCUUCGUGAUAGCUCCGGGAAGCUGGAAUUAAUACCGAAUGUGCCCUUUGGGGGGAAGCUUUAUCGGAUAAGGAUCGGCCCGCGUUGGAUUGGCUAGUUGGUGGGGUAAAGGCCUACCAAGGCGACAAUCCAUAGCUGGUCUGAGAGGAUGAUCAGCAACAUUGGGACUGAGACAAGGCCCAAACUACGAAGAGAGGCAGCAGGGGGGACAAUUGGACAAUGGGCGGAAGCCUGAAACCGACAGGCCGCGAGAGUGACGAAGGCCUUAGAGUUGUAAAGCUCUUUGCACGGAGAAGAUAAUGAGGGGAUCGGGAGAAGAAGCCCCGGCUAACUUGUU
rnacentral:rRNA from 1 species